UUGAUCCUGGCUCAGGACGAACGCUGGCGGCGUGCUUAACACAUGCAAGUCGAGCGGAAAGGCCCUUCGGGGUACUCGAGCGGCGAACGGGUGAGUAACACGUGAGUAACCUGCCCCAGACUUUGGGAUAACCCUCGGAAACGGGGGCUAAUACCGAAUAUGACCNCNGNUCGCAUGGUGGGUGGUGGAAAGUUUUUCGGUUUGGGAUGGACUCGCGGCCUAUCAGCUUGUUGGUGAGGUAAUGGCUCACCAAGGCGAGGACGGGUAGCCGGCCUGAGAGGGCGACCGGCCACACUGGGACUGAGACACGGCCCAGACUCCUACGGGAGGCAGCAGUGGGGAAUAUUGCACAAUGGGCGGAAGCCUGAUGCAGCGACGCCGCGUGAGGGAUGACGGCCUUCGGGUUGUAAACCUCUUUCAGCAGGGACGAAGCGCAAGUGACGGUACCUGCAG
rnacentral:rRNA from 1 species